CAAUCCAUGGUCAUAUGUUAUCCCCUCCUCGAGCUAAACGACCACCCUUCCUGCGCUCCAAACCCUAGGUCUAGUCGCAGCAGGUGGAUCUCGGCCUCUCACACUGCCAUGGCCUCGCAGCACCCACAACCAUAGUCCCUCUGCACGCGCGUCCCCGAUGCCACCCUCGCUUCCAUCUCCACCUUCCACUAUCCCCUUUGUACCAUCGACCUCUCCCUCUUCCGUGGGUUCCGCCUCCACUACACCAGCUGUGUAUAGAGCUGCCCCACCUGCCCCACGCCGCGUCGUCACCACGUUGGGAGGGGUGCAUCCGUCGCCUCUAAUCCAAAUAAGGAGGAGCUGCGGCCAGACACGAGUAGCAGAGUAGUAUCUGGAUCCGCUGAACACCCACCUGUGGUAUCUAGCUUUCCUAUCAAAGGUACUAUGUGACAUCUCGUCUACUCAUGAACUUCCUGGGACUGAAAUAGUGGGUCAUAUUGAUGCCUUUAUUGCUAUGAUGGCACAUACACAUGUAAUUGCAAAUGGGCCAAUCAGCUGAUGUUCUUGUUGCUGCCAAAACAACAACAGAAGUUUCAAUGAGGGUUGUGUGACCUAAGACGAAGUUUCAGUACCUAGGAUGAAGUUUCAGAGCUAUCAGCUGAUUUCAGUUUUAGAGUUGCAGAUUUUCAGUAUUAGAGCUGCCAGAUUUCAGUUUUAGAGUUGCAAAUUCCGUUUUUAGAGCUACUCUAUGAAUCCACACUUCAUUCUAUUUUGUUUUCAAUUUCAGAGCUGCAAGAUUUCUUUAGAAUGUGAAGACUAUGCUACCAAAAAAACUUUUCUAAUUUAUGUAGGAUGAAGUUCAGGAUUGUUUAGAAUGAGUCAUAUGUUUUAUCUAUCUUCAAUAAUAUUUGUACACGCAUAAAGUGGUGAUUAUUUUAUGUUGUGCUACUCUGUAUAUUGACUAUUUUAUUUGAAUGAGAAAUGGUUUGUCCAA